GCGGAUGUGGCGGAACUGGCAGACGCGCAGGACUUAGAAUCCUGUCCUUAUGGGGUGGGAGUUCAACUCUCCCCAUCCGCA
rnacentral:tRNA from 1 species